UACGUAGGGUGCGAGCGUUGUCCGGAAUUAUUGGGCGUAAAGGGCUCGUAGGCGGUUUGUCGCGUCGGUAGUGAAAACUCAGGGCUUAACCCUGAGCCUGCUUCCGAUACGGGCAGACUAGAGGUAUGCAGGGGAGAACGGAAUUCCUGGUGUAGCGGUGAAAUGCGCAGAUACCAGGAGGAACACCGGUGGCGAAGGCGGUUCUCUGGGCAUUACCUGACGCUGAGGAGCGAAAGUGUGGGGAGCGAACAGG
rnacentral:rRNA from 1 species